GUGGAUUUAUUAUUCCACAUGUCCGAGUUCGGUCUACACUGCAGGACUACUGACAGUCUCUGCAACACUGACAGUAGGUGUUCAUGCUGCAUUUUGUUUCUUUUUCUCGGUUUUAUUACAAACUGCAGUGAAAACAAAGCAAAAGCGUGAGGACGCAACAGUUAAAAGGAAAUUAUGAGGAAGGCGCAACUGUGAUUUGUAUUCUUUUUUUGACAUCUAUGACAGAAGUUUAGGAGGGGAUGGAAAACAAAGCCAUGUAUCUGAGCACAAGUGAAGAAAGAGAGAGCGGCUCCAUGUAUGAGGAAGUCUACGAUGGACAUAACUUAUCAAAGCUGAACCUUUGUGAUGAAGUGUCUGGAAAGCGCCGCAGGAAGCAGGACCAGUAUUGCAGUCUCCUGAACUCCCUGUCAGCUAUCAAAUAUGCAAUUGUGUCCUUAUACAUCCUGGUUCUUCUGACCAUCUUUGGACUCUGCUUGGCAGGUA